UCUCCGCUUCCCUCAGCCCGGACGUCAAGGCUGCGCAAAGGCAUCACUUUCCAAGCCGUCUGUGUGAAUGAACUGGCUGCUCCGAACCAGCUCGCUCUGGUUCUCCAAAGUUUGUUUACUGAACAGCGUGUGCAGAGAGAGACACACACACUGAGCAUGGGGGCUGCAGGGGGGGAGACGAACCAGCGGGGCCGCCUGGUUCACCCAGCGAGUCCGCCCUCCACCCAGAGCCACCGGCUUCUGGUGACGGCUCGAAAAAGGGAAGGAAAUAUCCAUUAACCGGGGAACUGACCUACGGACAUGCGAACGUCAGGCUGCGCUGGAGCUGAACACGAUUUAUUUCGCGUUUCAAAAUAGCGGGUAUCUUAAAAAUUCAGCUUCACAAGUCCCACCAAUAAGUAAGAAUCACAGCUUUAUUUCUUUUUAAUUUUUAUAAAUUAAUUUACAUACAAGGCUGAACAGGAAAUUUUGUAUUCCUCACCCUAAAGACAUGCAAAAUUACAUUUAAAAAAGCAAAUGCUAUUUCCAAAAUCAUAAUUCCUCGUUCUUGUGAUUUUGUCCCAUGCAUAAUUUCUUUAUUUCCUCUGACUUGUAUUACCCAAACAGCAAGUCUAACCACAUGGGUCGCCUCCAAAUCUAGCUUCCACAGAUUUAACAACUUGACAGAGAUCACACUCAAGUUAGAACAGAUCUAUUUAUCCAUGCAGGAGUUUCCUAAAUCUAACAUACAGAUGUAACAAACACGCUAUCUGACAUGGUGUAAACUUUUGGAAGCGUUUAAAAAUUUGGCUUUGACAUCUCUCCCUCCUCAGUGUGUAUAUCCUGAUUUCCAAGUCACUUCUUUCAAAUCCACGACACUCUGUUAACCGUAGCAGAGUUCUUCCCCACUUCCACUGUUGAAGUGAAAACAGUCUGACAGCUGCCAAAUUUCCCAACUUUAAAUGGCUGUUUUCUCAGCAUAUUACUGUUACAAUUCUCUCCCAACCCCUGGCAGUCCAAAUGUGGAUGCUGAGUCAGAUACACAGGACCAUCACAAUAUAUAUAGAUGAGCUCCUACCACAGAUAUUCUUAAUAAUUACUAAGCAGCCCAGGCUGUAGCAAGACACUUUGGCAGGGUUCAGCUCCCUUGCAAAGGAAAUACGAACUUAGAAUUAAAUAGAAAAUAUCGAAGAAUAAAAUAUAUACUUUUGCAAAGAUUAGGUGCUGAAUGUUUUUGUUACCAAGUUCUUUCACUACCUAUUUGUGUUAAUAAGAUCAGUUUAUAGCUGUAUAUUGAAGGUGUGACAUAACUUGUUCCAAUCAAAUUAAUUUCCUUGCACAUUUUUCCUCAUGUCAAGCGGAACUUACAAAUUCUGGCAUUUGUUCAGAGGCAGGGGAAAAUACAUAAACCCGUCAUUGUAGGACAAAGACAAAAACAUCUGUAACUGUUGUGACUAGAUCGUAUUUGAGUUCAACAAGGGGGAAACUUGCUGCCUCAGAGAGGUAAUUCACAGCAGGAACUACGUAGGCUCAACGGAAAUGAAUGGGCAGAAAGAAAGGUAACUCACACAAAUGAUAUCUCAAUAAACUUAUGACCACUCUCACAUUUCCCAUAUGAGGGCCUCAACUCCGUGCAUUAUUUCCAUCUCCAACUACCCACCUUUUACUCCUUGCCUGGGACUCUCAUUUCACGACCCCAACUACUUUUCCCAUCUCUCAGUGAAACCGCAAGUCCAACACCAUCUCUUAUCUCUAAUCCAUCCCACUAACACUGUGUCCUUUGCUGUUCCCCUGGUAGUUUACUCGAAUGGAAGUGAGCGUCUCCUUGCUGGUGGAGUUCCUUUAGCAGGUAC